rnacentral:rRNA from 1 species
UACGGAGGGUGCAAGCGUUGUUCGGAAUUACUGGGCGUAAAGCGCGUGUAGGCGGCCGAUUAAGUCUGGUGUGAAAGCCCGGGGCUCACCCCCGGAAGUGCGCUGGAAACUGGUCGGCUAGAGUAUGGGAGAGGAAAGUGGAAUUCCCGGUGUAGCGGUGAAAUGCGUAGAGAUCCGGAGGAAUACCAGUGGCGCAAGCGGCGCUCUGGGUCGAGCCUGACACUGAGACGCGAAGGCAUGGGGAGCGAACGGG